AAUGAAGGAUGACUAUUGCGGUUGAUUCUCAAAGGUGCAUAUUUUUAUGAAAUCUGAACACUUGGUCAAAUAAAAUGAAUACUACCUGUGCCCCAGGUUAAAUGAAAGGGGUUUUUUUUUUGUAUUGAAAAGAAACUCCUACUUCAAAGGCUCAAAAAGGUUAACGAGGGAUUAUCUUCCUUAUAUCUCCGGUGUUUGGGAAUUGAAACAAUGCCUGUACA
rnacentral:lncRNA from 1 species